AUUAUAGGUUUUUCUCUAUUUUUUUUUUUUUUGUAGUUACUAAUUAAUAAUGUUUGUACAGACAAAUAAUAUAUAAAAUGUUGUAUUACAUAAAAGUAGUUUCAUUGCUUUCCUACCGAGUCCAUUCAGAACAACAAGCUCUUAUGGGACUAAUGUAGGACUUAAAAAACAUUCAGAGAUGGGGAUUUUCCCCCAGUUGUUGUUCGGGUAAGGCCAUUCACCAGUCGUGUAUCUUGAUCAGAGCCAUAUAGAGUGAGAGUUGCGACAACUCCAUUGACUCCAAUGGAACGCUUUUUUUACAGCAAUGGCGGCUCGUGGAGCCUCUCAAUAGUUCCCGGAAGUAGCAGCAAACCUAUGCCGCGCCGUAGAGAUGCAGCAGAACAAACCGUUUGCGACGCACUUUUAACAGACCCAGGUCUAGGGGUGCAUCGUGGAGCAGGGCCCUCC